GGAUGAUGAGGAUGAAGAAGAGAUCGAGGUUGAGGAGGAACUCUGCAAGCAGGUGAGGUCCAGAGAUAUAUCCAGAGAGGAGUGGAAGGGCUCGGAGACCUACAGCCCCAAUACUGCAUAUGGUAAGGCCCCAGCUCUCAGCCCACCUGCAGGAGCUUCAGCCCUUGGGCCCAGCCUCCACAUGACCCUCCCAUAUCCCAGCCAUGGCAUUCUGGCUGGGAAGCCUUCUCUUCUGCCCCUGCCUAGAGGGUUGGGGAGCACAUGGGCCCCUAGAGAGGGAGGGACACCUCGCUGGUACAGGGAUGUGAGUGCAGACCCUGCCAUCUCAUCCUACAGGUGUGGACUUCCUGGUGCCCGUGAUGGGCUAUAUCUGCCGCAUCUGCCACAAGUUCUAUCACAGCAACUCAGGGGCACAGCUCUCCCACUGCAAGUCCCUGGGCCACUUUGAGAACCUGCAGGUGAGCCGGACAUCCUGCCCUGUCCUCCCCUGGCCACAGACUUAGUCUUAAUCCAAGCUGAUCCGGGUGGCUAGUGGCCACUCCCUCUUGUGCAGGGCCUCAACCCCCAGGCACCACCCCUGCACCAACAGGGAGAGA
rnacentral:sRNA from 1 species